UCUCCCCAAUUCUGAAGUUUGGUUUGAACAACAACUGAACCUCUUGACUAUAACUACAUGCUUUAAUGCAUUGAAUUGCUGCCACCUGAUUGACUAAUUAGAUAUUUGUUUGCAUUAAUAAGCAGGUGUGCAGGUGCACCUAAUAAUGUGGUCACUGAGUGUAGGACAUAGCUAUAUACAAAGACUGGGAUCUACAGUCAACUUGCUAUUAAAAGAAAAUCAUAUUUAUGCAGUACAGGAAUACAAGCAAUUCCAAUUUGAUAUUUUAAUUCACAGAGACAAAUACUGUAUUUCACUGGCCCUCCCACUCCCACUUGCUGGUUGAAUGAUAAUACUCUGACCUUUCCCUCUCAUGAUUGAAGAUUGAACACACACAGAACAGCUUUAGAUAAAAUCUACCUAUACUUAUGAGCAUAUGUGCACUGACGAUUUUUUAAAAAGUAUAUUUGCACUAGUGCAUAUAUGUACGUAAGACUAAAUGACUCCAGUUUGAUAACUUAUUUGACAGCAUGCUUCAAGUACAAAAUAUUUAAUUAAACCUUGGAUUUGUAAGUGAGGGUGCUAUAUAUAAUUAAAUUGCUUCCUGCUUGGAUUGGAAGCAUGAUGGCAAGGAGGAGCCAGGCGAUUGUUUCAUUGUAAGGAGAUUUGGAGAGCUUGUGUCAAUCCAGGAUUUCCAGUAUGAGAUAAAUACCAUCCCCUUUUAAUAUUCAGAACUGCAGGCAACCCGUCCUUUUGGAGAAUGGUUUGAGGUUGCAGCAAUUCUGUAUAAUUAUGAAAGAGGGUAACUCAAACAAUAUUCUUCAAAACAGAUACUUGAGAAAUGUUUAACUGCAUUAAGUUUGAACCUUUCCUGCAUCUGAUGGAUUAACUUUUCUAACCAUUGAGUCAAAAGCAUUCAAGUACACACAUUCACAAGGUAUUAUUUUAUAUUCUCAGUGAAACCUAGAUACAAAAAUGUGAUUUAAAAAGCACAGGAUAGCCCUUGUGAUUUCACCCACACGUUGUGGAGACACAAGAGACUGCAGACGCUGGUAUCUGGAGCAAGUCUCUUUCUAAUGCAGGAUUUUCACUGAAAAUGUCAAUGCUCCUUUUCAAAAACAUAAGAAAAUCUGCAGAUGCUGGAAAUGUAAGCAACACACAUGAAAUGCAGGAGGAACGUGGCAGGCCAGGCAGCAUCUAUGCAAAAGAGUAAACAGUUGAGGUUUCUGUCCUGAUGAAAGGUCUCGGCCUGAAAAGUUGACUGUUUACUUUUUUUUCCCACGGGUGCUGUCUGGCCUGCUGAGUUCCUCCAGCAUUUUGUGUGUGUUGCAACAAUCCCUUUCUUCCCACUGAUCCUGACUAACACAUUGAGUUCUUCCAGCAGAUUGUGUUUUACAGCUUUAUGAGAGGCACUGAUCUAGGUGGUAGACUGGAUGGCCCUUGAUAUCGGGAGAAGUGGAUAAAGGCUUGCAUUUAUUGCCCAUUCCUAUAUGCCUGAGAAGAUGGUGAAAUGACUGUAGUUCAGGAAAUGGAAAGGAAGGAAAAUCACAGGGAGAUUACAAUCGCCAGGGAAGUCAUGUCGAGGAAAUUAUUGGAGCUGUGGGCUGACACAUCUUUGCAUCUUUAUGGACUUCAACCUGGCAGCUCAAGAGGAUGAGCAGCAAUUUAAACCAAAUUCCCAAGCAUUUGCAUAAAAUAUCAGGUUGGAUCUUGCUGUCCCUGGCCUGCUGCCUGCAGUCCCCACCUGACUGAGUUGGAAAUGGAAUAUCAAUCUCACUGGCCUGCCACACAUUCAAGUUGAAUACUGAGGGUUGAAUACUCCUCAUGGCCUCAGGAAGUGCAGGAGAGCAAACACCCUACCUACCCUGAUAAACUGCUGCCUGUGCUUGACAGAUGUUAAGGCAGCUGCUGCUGCAGUGGAAUUAAUCAUGAUGGCUUCAGGAAUCUGGCCUGAGAAGGAGCAAAAGUUAAAAUCCACUAAGGCUCCGAAUUGGUAACUCUAUUCCUCUGGAAAAUUAAUGGAUAUGAACAUCAGAUGCUCUCCUGAUUCCCAGAUAACUACUAGGAUGUACAGUAGAAAAUAGGAGGGCAACAGUGCUUGUGCAUGAACAGGGAAGGAAAAAAAGGCAGUAACUGUAAAAACUGAAGAACUUCAUGUUCCAUAUGUAAAACAGCAACAACUAAGGACAAUUGGUUGUGAAAGGGUAAAAGGAACAUUCAUCGAAAAUUAAUUUUGAUGGAAAUAUUGUUGCUUGACUUGACUCUCUAGGACUAAAUUAGAUCUAGAAAACAAUUUUCCGUAAGCUGAAUACCAAGCAAAAUUGUGGAAUGUAGAUCUCAGAGGGCAAUCGGCAUUUGUGAAGACAACAGGUAUAAGUCAAUGUUUUGGGUAGGGACCAUGCAUCAAUCUGUUUCUCCUUCCAGAUUCCAACACCUGCAGUCUUUUCUCUUCACUCAGCAAAAUUAACUGUAGUUGUACCAUGGAGAGCAUUCUGACAGGCUGCAUCACUGUCUGGUAUGGAGGGGCUACUGCACAGGACCGAAAGAAGCUGCAGAAGGUUGUAAAUCUAGUCAGCUCCAUUUUAGGCACUAGCCUACAAAGUGCCCAGGACAUCUUUAGGAAGCGGUAUCUCAGCAUCCACUAUUAAGGACCUCCAGCAUCCAGGGCAUGCCCUUUUCUCACUGUUACCAUCGGGCAAGAGAUACAGAAGCCUGAAGGCACACACACAGCGAUUCAGGAACAGCUUCUUACCCUCUGGCAAAUGAUUCCUAAAUGGACAUUGAAGCUUUGGACACUACCUCACUUUUUUUAAUAUACAGUAUUUUUGUUUUUGCACAUCUUUAAAAAAUCUAUUCAAUAUACAUAAUUGAUUUUCUUGUUUAUUUAUUAUUGCAUUAUAUAUUUUUUAUUAUUAUUUUCUCUGUCUGCUAGAUUAUGUAUUGCAUUGAACUGGUGCUGUUAAGUUAACAAUUUUCACGUCACAUGCCGGUGAUAAUAAACCUGAUUCUGAUUCUGAAUCGUACUACUGAUAAAAUAACUGAGUAAAUAUGUGAACUUCAAGGGGCAAUUUUAAGCUGCUGGGAGCACAGAGCACAUUGUAGUUGCAGAGAUCAAUGAGUUCAGUAGGUCCCAGAGCAGCAUUCUGUGUGACAGCUGAUCUCUGCAUGGGAAAUCCUUACCCGCACUUUGCAUCAGGAGCACAAAUUCAGUUUACCUUUGUAAGACAAAUGUUUAUUAAUUUAAAUAAAAUUCUCCUCUCUCUCAUUGCCAAAUGUUAUAUUACUGUUAUUCAAGCAAUGUAACAAAUAAUUGGAAACAUCUGCAGACUUAUUAAUAAAGUUGUUAUAGCCAGGGAUGGUACUGAUGAUAAGCCCCCACUACCUAUUAAAUACUCCCAAUGGCGUGCAUCUCAAAUAGUUUUUGAUAACCAAGUCCAGCUCCUGGUCUUCACGUGUCGCUUAGCUACUAACCCCAGCAGAACCUUUUCUACUGACAAGAGAAGGGGCAAAGGCAGGCAUUUGGUGUCUGAAAACCAGUUGCUUUGGGCGGAUGGGUCUUAUCAGCUGUGGUUGGUAGCUUAUCCAGGAGAAGAAAAGCUCUGAUCUCAAACCUUGUAGCUAUACCCACUCAUGGGGAAAGCCUCAGGUAAUCCCCAAGGGAAAAUCUAAAUUUGGAGUCCCUAAAACAGGCCUACAUUGGAUUCAGCACUGACUGGCAAAGCCUGCGAUGUCGCAAGUGCCAAACCAUUUCAGUCUCUGCCGUUCCUUUAGAUUCAUCAGCUGCAUGAGGUGGGGGAGGGCUACUACAUGGACAAUAGCUUGCUUUCCAUUUUGUACUGGCUUGGCUUUUGUAUCAUAUAAAUAGCUGGGAUGCAACAACAAUGGUCAAACCCAACAGAGGGCCUCAAUUAAUAAAGAAAACAGUCCUCCUUUCACUUUGAAGUUACACAGUUAAAAUAUUGGCUGUAGACCAAUCAGGAACAAAAACAAUUCAGUAAUACAUUAUUGACCAACCCAUGAUGGUUGUUUAUUUAGGACUGUAACCCAUGUAAUGUUGUUACUUUAUGUAACAUGCUAGAUCAAUAAACAGAAUUAUUUCAAUGUC